UUUCAGGAUCUAAUUGCAUGAAAGCAGCAAUAUAUAUAAAGACACGCAGCUCUAUCAUAGGAUAGAGGGGUCAAUAAGUAUAUGCCACCAUAUGCAAUGUAUAUAGAUCCUUAAGUGAAACGCAAUUAAGCAGACAGAUCACUCCACGAACUAAGAACGGCCAUGCACCACCUAUCACAUAAUCAUGAAAGGACUAGCAUAUUUAACAUAUAUCAGCAACUCAUAAUAAUGAGUGUUGAUAUAAUAUUGCCUGUCAAUCCUCAAUGUGUCCGGACCCGGUAAGUUUUCCCGCGUUGGGUCAAAUUAAGCCACAUGCUCCACGCGUUCUUGUAGUGCCCUUCCGUCAAUUCCUUCAAGUUUCACACGUGCGU
rnacentral:rRNA from 1 species